rnacentral:sRNA from 4 species
GCACUGGCAAAAUCCAGUGCCGGGAUUGAGACCCCGUUUUUGUUGCAGGUGCAUAGCCAUCAGUGAUUUUUU